ACUCAAACGAGCCGUCAUGGUUUCAAUAUAAAUACGAGCACGAAUCACAAGUCGCAACAUCUUCAUGCUGCCAGUUGUGCCGCUGAUGAACAGCACACGCCUGUGUCCAGAAUAGUUGGGGGCUAUCAUAUGGACUGGGGAUGUGUUGUCCCAGUCUGUGAGAUAGAAAAUCACUCGCGAAUGGCGAGCAUCGUCCUCGGUUUGUGUGGACUACGUACUUCCGACUUCCUGGAUGAUUGGGAAGUUUGGAAUUGUGGCCGCGUGGAAGAGGUUUUCAAAGGAGUUUUGGAUGAGCAGCAGCAGCUGGAUGAGUGCAUCAAGUCGUAUGUCGCCUGCAGUAUUUGCGUGUUUUCUCUGUUGUUGUUGUGCAUGAGUCCGUGGAAAGUCGGAAGCAUGCGGGAACAAACGUAGCGCCAGCUGAACCCGUCGAAAUGCAAGAACGCGCCUCUUGCUGCUUCCAGGCUCAUUUGGAUCGGAGUAUUCCAGGGUCAAGAUUUGCAUCCGAGCACUUCCGCUCGUGCGGUUCAUGUUUUGUAGGGCUGUCGAGAACGGUUGAAGGCGUAAACUGGGGCGGUUGGCCUGGAAGGAUCUCCAGCGGAACUUCAUGAAGUGUUGGAGAGAAAGUUCUUUCCAAUUCGCGAUUCCCAGACUUCUACAAUCUUGGAUUGGCGUCGGCGUGUGCCAUGUUGUCCAUGUGUGUGGUACUUUUCGAGUGCGGUACUCUUCCUGUCGGAGGAAUAUCCACCGUGCCAAUGCAGGAGGCAGUGGUAGCACGAGGUAGCGCUGCGAGGAACACUGGGGCAACUGCAGGGAGGAGAAGUCCCAAGCAACAAAGCCCCAGAACGCAUGGCGCCUGGAAUACACACCACGAAGCAGGCUACCCAAUAUAAAAAGGCACAAAAGGGUGCGCCAUCGCCAAGGAAUGAAGAGCAGAAAGACGUCAGAAGAAGAAGAACAUGCCCAGGAGAUUAGGCAUGCCAAUGUUCAAUAGGCAUUUGUAGGGGAUCCUGUUGCACGCAGGGCGGCAGGGGAGUGGCAAUGGGGGCGGGGGGUCGAGGCAAGGAGGUGAGGGCACAGGGGAGAGGGUGACAGAAGUGCGAGGGGUGGGAGAGUGGGAGGGUGAAGGAGAAGGUUUGGGGGGAGGCGCAGGAUUAGGAGCAGGAGGCAGCGAGUGAUGGCAGCGGAGGGGUCGCGAAAUGUCCCAUAACGUGUGGGGGAAGUGAGGAGGAGGUCGGGGUAUAAUGAGGGCGAGGCGGGAGAGGGAUGGUAUACCUUUCUCGGCCUUUUGGCUAAGAUCAAGUGUAGUAUCUGUUCUUAUCAGUUUAAUAUCUGAUACGAGGCUCAUCGAGCCUCAUGAUAUUAAUCUAAUUUUUCUCGGGUGCGGGCCCAUUCGGCAGCUUGCUGCCCGGGCCAGCGCGCGUCGCCUUGGUAUUGCACUACCUCCUAGGCUGGCACAGCCCUCCCCCUCCAUCCCCGGAGGGAC